GAAAAAUUAAUAUCAACAAUACAAUUUCACUAAGAACUUCUGAACCAUUCUGUGAACUAUUGGAUAGUUUUUGUUUAUUUAAUUAAUGCUGUGAAAUAAAAUUAUUAUGCAACCAUUAAAAUUACCUUUCUCAAAAUAUGAUAAUAUGAUGCUUCAGUAUGGAUAUGUAUGUACCCAGGAUUAUAGGUCUAUUAAACUAUAACUUGAUUUUCCUCAAUAAAUUGGAGUUGAUAAUUUUAUAAGCAUUUGGAAUCUGUGAGUGAUCCUUAAUGACUUAAUGAUUCAUCAAAACCUGCUCUGUGUUUUGUCACUGGUUUUGAGUCUAACCAGCGUCUUGUUUUUACAGAUGUAAAUUAUUAUCUGAGUGUGUUACCUUUCCUUGCUGCUGUUGAUUCUGGAAUAAUGGGGCUAUCACCAAACCAAUUCACGAUCUUGCCACCACCCAAGGAUCAGAUGAGGUUUUGUUACAAUGUUUCUGGCUGUCGAUCUGCCUUCCCUGAAACAAUGGACAUGUGGAAAGACUUUUUCCAGGUUCUUGGUUUAAGUUUUAUACUACACUGCUCAGACAUGCCUAGAGAAUGCUCUUUGUGAAAGUUCCACGUGAUUGUUUUUUAUGCAUUGUAUACGUUCCUUAAUAUUAAAAUGUAAAUUGUAAGGGUUUUAUUUUUACUCAUUAGUGAUGUAAAGUACAGUAUAUGCCAGGGAACCCACCCCCAUUCUAAUACAGUCCUAACACAAAAUUUAUCUGUUCUUAAUGCAAGUGAAAAAAAAAAUACCACAAAUGGCAAUAGGUCUUUCAAGUAGAAACAUGGCACUUUGCAGAUACUUCAGGCUUAUUUCAAUUUAUUGCUAUGCUAUACUAGAAAGUACUAGUUUUUUCUUUUGCUGUUAAGCACUAGAUAUGACAUGUCAAAACAUCAUUCUUGGUCAUGCUGAUGAUUCCUCAUAUCUGUGAGUCUGGGAGAAUUGCAGGGAGAGUUGCCCACAUAGCACUUAUUUUCUCUAUUUUUCAGUACAUGCAGUUGCCUUCUAGUGACUCUGACAGCCUCCUGAAGAAGUUAUGUGAUGCCCAUACCUCAUCCUUGGAGUAUCCCAUCCAUGCCUUUGUAGACAGGUUUAUCUCCACAAACCCCACACAAUAUCUGAGAAACAACUGGGGACAUAGCUCAGUUAACUCAACUGCUUGAGCCCCUGCCCUGGCUUUCCUUCUAUGCAAGCAUGGAGACCUGGUUUGGUUUCUAGAACUCAUGUGAGAGGCCAGCAUCAUGGUAUGUAUUUAUCGUACACUGUGCUAGGGAGGUGAAAACUAGUGGAUCCCUGCAACUCACUGACUAGCCUAGCCUUAUGGCGUGUACACUCACUGGGAGACCCCGUUCAAAGGAAAAACACAUGUGGACCACACCUGCAUACAUACUUCCCACCCACACAUGCAGACACACACACACACACACACACACACACACACACACACACACACACACACACACACACACACACGUGAAUGUACUCAAACACAUACAUAAAGUAUGAGAUGAGAGAAUUAAAUUACCUGGUGAAUAGUGGUAGACAAAUUGCGAUUUUUGUUACUGACUACUUUCCCACAUUUAGAGAAUUUUAACAUUUCAAGCAGUGGGUACCUUGCUGACCUGAAAUCAUGGACAGUCAAGAGUUUAGAGCCUGCUUGUAAAUCCCAUAAUGCAUGUGGUAUCAGUGGUCUCAUCAUACCUUAUCAUGAGUUUUCCUUCCUUAUAUACGAUCCUGACUUUAAAAAAAAUCAUUUGGUGGUUUGAUAUGUUCAAUAAUUUUAUAUGCCCAGUGUUGUAAAAAUAUAAAAAGUAAAAAAAAUAUUGUUGUCUUUUACCUCACUAGGUCUGCACCACGGUGCCCCAAGAUAUCUGCUAGAUAUCUUGGCAGAAACAUAUCCCAACUCCGCAGCGGUCCAGUGUCUCUUGCCCCCACACACUUUCCUACACUCAUACUGUCACAUAAAAGAACACACAACACAAUAACCUUUGACCCAAAUGGUAAGAUAUAAUUGCCCACUUAAACAUACAAAGCCCGGUACCAUCCAUCCCUUAGGAACAUUAAUAACAACCUGUAAAAACACAAAAUCUUUCUCCCAAAAUACUGUGUUCCUUAGUCUGAAAGCAGAAAAGUUUGUAUCUUGCACUCUUUCCCAGAGUAAUAAUAUAACCAUAAAACUCAAAGUCACACCCAUCAUGAAGACUAAAGAAUUUUUUAAAAAGGAAGUAAGCUAAACAAUGAGCCUGAUAGGCUUUUGUACUCUGUGAUGUCAGGAACUGAACCCAAAAUUCCCGUGGAGCCCACGUUAAGAGAAUCUGAGCUUCCUGUUGUGGCAAAUAUCAAAAGUAACACAAACCCUCACUAGCCGGCAUCAACAAGCCAUAUGGCCUUUAGUGGGGUAAUUCAUAAAACAAACCAAAUACCUUCUAUCGAUUCCAAUAUCAAUAAGCAACAAAUUAAACCAGGACUUUUGCCCAAAAUAUCUCAAUCUGUUAAGCUCUCUACCCAGAGCCACAGAUUUUUACUUAACCUUAACAACUUCUAUAAUAUAUGUCUGCAUUCACUCUGCCUGGUGUUACAGACAUUUAUCACAACUCUACUUGGAGUUAGUGUCCAAUUUUUCCCUAUCUAAGUUCUGAACUGUGGAUGAAAAUCCCCACCUGAUUCAGGUAAUCUCUUUACUCUCUUCUUUCUAAAAACAAACUUAAUUGCCUUUUAAUAAUACCUGUCAUUAAGAAGUAGCUUGUCUAACUAGGAUUUCAACCCAAAAUUCCCAUGGAGCCCACGUUAAAAAGAAUAUGAGUAUCCAGAAAGACUUUCUAAACAACUUUCUUUAAAAAGCAGCUUUAAUCUCUAACUCUCUGAGCUGCCAUUACUUAUCAC
rnacentral:lncRNA from 1 species